AUGUUGUUAAAUUGGUUACAUAUAUUUAUAUCAUUUACAACAUUCUAUUGUAUUAAAUAAUCCUUUAAUCAACUUGAUAUGAAAAUUGAAAAUUGAUUGAAAGCAUGCUGAAGUUGUUUGAAUUCAGAAAUUGAAAGAGUACAAAAUUGGUUGAAAGAUUAAAUUAAAUAACAGAGAUGCAAAAUGUUAUUCUCAAGGAGCUUGCAGAAAUAAAAGUUCUUUUAAAAGAAGUUAUAGAAAUUAAGUUUCAGGCUACUGAGGUGAAGUUGCUAGAAUCGGUGGACGAAGUGGUUACACUGGAUAAUAAACUAAAAGAUAAAACCGAGUAUACUAAUUUGAUAGUUUUAAAAAAGAUUGGUGGUGGAAAGCCAAGAGAACAUGUUUUUUGAUUAUGUUUUUAUUAAUUAUUAGAUAUAUGAUUAAAAGGGACCAAAAGCAAUUCUUUUUGACCGUUAUUUGUUAUGGAUUUACUUUUAACAUGACAAUUUGAUAAACUCGGGAGCUUCGCUGUAGGUGUUUAAGUUUGUUUGUGUGCUAAAGUUAUUUUCGAAUCAGUUACAGUCCAAAUUAAAUCGAAAAGGAAAUAGGGAAAAGAUAAGCUUAGAAAAUCUAGUAAAUAUAUGGAGUGUUUUACGAGAUAUCGGCGACGUGGAAGAAAAUGUUGACGGCAAUGCAGAAAUAUAGUUUCUUAUGUAUAUUUUUGUGAAAUAAAAAUUAAGUAAUGUUAGUUAAAA
rnacentral:lncRNA from 1 species